GCGCGGCUCGACGGGCCGGGACGGGACGGGCCGGGACCGGCGCGCGCCUGCCCGCCCGCGCUCCCCUCCGCCCUCCGCGGGCCACCCGGCGCGCCUUCGAGGCGUCGCGCGGCGGCGGCGGGAGACGCGGGUCCUCGCGAGGCCCCGGGGCCGCGCCCGAGGGAGCAGCCGGCGGGGCUUCCUUCGGGGGGUUGGGGGCGGCAGCGCCCUGGCGAGGCGAGACGCGCCUCCAGCUAGGCCGGGCUUCGGGCAACGGCCUCGGCCCCGGGAAGGAGCGAGCGAAGUUUCCGGACGGCCCCGGCCCGUUGCGCCGGUUGGCGGAGAGGCUUGGGAGGGGGGCCGGGGGCGCGUCCGUGGGCGCAGGGGGCCUCAGGAGGCGCCCAGGCUAACGCGGGCUUCGCAGUUGGACCUCGGAAGCGGGGCGAAGGCGGACCUGGGCCCGCCCCACCCCGGGGCGAAGGGGAACGACCGCUGGGGACCGGGAGACCCGACCGAAAGCUACCUGAGCGUCGGCACUCGAGCGGGGAAAGCGGUGUAGUAGAGCUUUAGAAGUUAACUAAAGGCUUGCAGUAACAACCUCCAGAGUAAAAGCAGCCAAAUCUCAGCAACCUUUGUAGCAUUUUCUCCUACUCGACUUAUAUCUUGCCCCCCUGAAGCUCUUUGAUACGUCUGAGUCUGAGAAAUGACAAUCACAUUCAUGGUAUCUGUACCAAGAAGAGAGCAGACAGGACUGGAGCUCUUUCAAAGGCGAAUCCUAAGGACGACUGUGGAGGCCUCCUAACAUGUGGGUCUGUAGAAGAAGACGCGGGGCACUUUAAGGAUGAUUUUAGCCUUUCCAGCUACAGGGGAGCUCAGCCACUGGGACUGAGCCACCUUCUCUUAGCCAAAGGUCUUUUUAUUGUUCUCCAGGUCACAGCUUUUCAAGUUGAUUUCUGCAUCCUAACUAAGCUUCCAAAGGGACACUGUCAAAUGCAAAUCACAGUGUGCUGGAUUUUUCCCAACUGAAUUCCACUUUGUACCCCUGGACAGCUCAGACAGGACUCGAGUUAAACGAAGGUGCUGAAGACAAGGGCAGAUUAAGGCUGUUUGCCUGCGUUCAGGAGCCCGCUGUGGCUGUGCAAGGCGCUCUCCCUACAGAUGACGGUUGAAGAGGGCAAUAGAUUAACCAAAGACCUGAACAAUGAAGGGCUUUGAAAAGUGCCAGCAUGUUGUAGGAACCCACACAGGCACACACAUGCAUUGGACCACUCAGGUGCUCACGGAGUCCUACCUAACACUCGGGCUCUGUGCAAGCAGGAAGCAAAAGCUAUGUACACUUGGAAACUGCCUGACUGUUGAAGGCAUAUGCCAAGAUAGUCAUAGAGCUCCUUGACAAAGACUAAGAUGCUUACUGCCUCCUGGUGCUUAAGGUAAUCCCUAGCCAGUCAUUUGCCAAGAGGGAAACUCACCAAGUAGAGACGUUAGUCACACAUAGUGCAGAUGCACACUUUACAGACUUAGAUCAGGUUGGGCAUUGGUGGUGCACACCUUAAAUCGCAGCACUCCCGCGGCUGAGGCAUUCGGAUAUCUGUGAGUUUGAGGCUAGCCUGGUCUACAGAGUGAGCUCCAGGACAGCCAGGGCUGUAACACGGAGAAACCCUGUCUCUAAAAACCCAAAAUAAAACGAAAUUAGAUCGGAAAAGUCACUAGGCAAACACAGCAACUAGUUCAACAAACAAUAAUAACCUUGGGAAAGGAAAAAAAUCUGACUUUGGGAGCUACCACAUUAUUAGACAUGUCCACCUCCAAGUAAAUUGUGAGAUAUGUAAAGAAACAAAGUGUGGUCCAUACGAAGGAAGUAAAAGCUAGUAAUACAAACAGCUCUUGGGGGCUGGAGAGAUGGCUCAGCGGUUAAGAGCACUGACUGCUGUUGCCAAGGACCCAGGUUCAGAUCCCAGCACCCACAUGACACACACUUGUAACUGCAGUUUCAAGGGAUCUGAUGAGUGUGAGCACACAUGAGCACACACACUAAAAAUAACAAAUUUUUAAAAACUGACUUAGUUGCUACUAUUAAAAUACUAAAGGGAGUCUUUGAGCUGAUAGGAAAGCCAUUAAGCAAUAAUUCAGAUUCUCAUGAAUUAAAAAACACCAGUAAAGAUAAUUAUGGGUAAAUGAAAAGUUUGUCACUCCUUCCAUUUGAUUAUAGAGAUGAUAAUUACAAAUAUUGCAAGUUAUAAAUGCAGGGCUCAGGGGUUAAACUCCUUCCAGAUGACCUGGGGUUCAAUUCCCAGAACCUACAUGGUAGCUCACAAUUGUUUGUACAUCAGUCCCAGGUGACCUGAUGCCCUCCUCCUGCAGGGUUUACAAAUUAUAACAAUGUACAGAUCAUGCAAAGAAUGUCCUCUAGCUUUAAUGACAUGAAACUAGAAAUCAGUAUCAGGCACAAUGUAGGGAAUUCACAAACGUGGAAAUUAUGCAGCACGCUCUUAAAUCAUAAGUUAAAGGAGAUCUCCCAAAGGAGGCUAGAAAAUAAGACAAAUACAAAAGAAGGAUUGCAGAGACAGCUCAGACAGAGUACUUGCUUCUCUUCUAGAGGACCCAGGUUCAGUGUUUUAGCAACUACAUGACAGCUCACAACUAUAAUUCCAUUUCCAAGGAACCCAAUACCUUCCGGCCUCUGAGGACACUGCAUGUACACGGUGAGCAGACAUAUGUGCAAGCAAAACACCCCUACAUACAAAAUGCAUACUUGAAAAAACUAAAGAACUUGUGAGGUGUAAUGGAAACAAUGUUUAGGGGAAAUGAACAGCUGUCAUCUCAAAUCAAUAGCCUAAUGUACCUUAGGAACUAGAAUAGUAGUUUUCAAAAAAGGAGAUACUGCAGAUUAGAGUAUUAGAGAAAUACAACAGAGGCUAGAAAAUAAUACAAUGAAUCAUUAGAACUAAAACGUGGUUCUUUAAUAUUUUAAAAACAUUACCAGAUCUUUACCUAGAAUGACAAAAAGGACUAAAAUUAUUAGUAACCAAGACUAAAAGGGGUCACUAUUACUGAAUUUACAGAAAUAAGGAUUAUAAAUGUAAGUUCCACUUUCUAGUUUUUGUAUCUGGUGCUUGGACAGACCACUCACUGGUGGAUUGCCUUUCCCUCGCAAAGCACUCGCCCGAGCCUACUCCUACAACCGCCCCUUUCCUUGCCACAGUUUACCAUGGGCUCUAACUUUAUUUCCCUUCUUCAAUUGCCACAGGUCCAGGUUUCAGACACUGAGACAGCCAGUCCUUAUAUUCCCCACAGGCUGGUGCUGUUAUUCAAAUUAGGCUAUCCUAAUUACCCGCUCAUCACCUGUUCUUUCUCAAGGACAUCUCUCACAAUAAAGGCUCUUUCCUCCGC